AUUGAACGCUGGCGGAAUGCUUUACACAUGCAAGUCGAGCGGCAGCGCGGGGCAACCUGGCGGCGAGCGGCGAACGGGUGAGUAAUGCAUCGGAACAUGUCCAUGUCGUGGGGGAUAGCCCGGCGAAAGCCGGAUUAAUACCGCAUACGCCCGAGAGGGGAAAGUGGGGGACCGCAAGGCCUCACGCGAUUGGGUUGGCCGAUGUCCGAUUAGCUAGUUGGCGGGGUAAGAGCCCACCAAGGCGAUGAUCGGUAGCUGGUCUGAGAGGAUGAUCAGCCACACUGGGACUGAGACACGGCCCAGACUCCUACGGGAGGCAGCAGUGGGGAAUUUUGGACAAUGGGGGCAACCCUGAUCCAGCCAUUCCGCGUGAGUGAAGAAGGCCUUCGGGUUGUAAAGCUCUUUUGUCCGGAACGAAACGGUGAGCGUGAAUAUCGCUCGCUACUGACGGUACCGGUAGAAUAAGCACCGGCUAACUACGUGCCAGCCGCCGCAGUAAUAC
rnacentral:rRNA from 1 species